rnacentral:rRNA from 1 species
UACGUAGGGAGCAAGCGUUGUUCGGAUUUACGUGGGCGUAAAGGGUGCGUAGGCGGCGUGGUAAGUCGGGUGUGAAAUCUCGGAGCUUAACUCCGAAACUGCAUUCGAUACUGCCGUGCUUGAGGACUGGAGAGGAGACUGGAAUUUACGGUGUAGCGGUGAAAUGCGUAGAUAUCGUAAGGAAGACCAGUGGAGCGGAAAGGCGGGUCUCUGGACAGUUCCUGACGCUGAGGCACGAAGGUCAGGGGAGCAAACGGG